AUGAGUUGGAGGAGGGAAAUAGUGGAGUAAGGAGCCCAGUUACAAGAUUGUUUUAACAGACUAGGCAUAAAUGUAGUACUAAUGAGGCUGGGAAAAAAGGUCCCAUGAGAAAUCACAGAAGAAAAAAUUAAGAAGCCUCAGGGACUGCCUGGGAAUGUGCCAUAAAGGAGAUGGAGAACUUAAAGAUAGCUAGGAUUUGAGCCUGGGUGAUGGGAAGAGUGAUGGGCAGUUCAAAGUAUGGAGCUGGUAUUGAUUAGGAUUGUUAAAUGACGAUUCACCUAGAAGGGGUGGGCUGCGAGAGAGAGCAUAGAAGAGGGUUCACAGUCGGGGAAGGAGGUUGAGGAGAAUCAAGUAAAAUAGACAAGUCCAGAGAAAAAUGGCCCAGUAUCAAGCCCUGAUGGUCAGGGAGAGAAUAAUGUCAAGGAUAAGCUGCCUAGUCAUCUCUGUUAAUUGGAGUAGAGAGUUGAGGACUUAAACCAGAUUUCUUUCUCUCUCUAGUCAUUUAUCCUUCCUUCCUUCCUCCUUCUUUUAUUCUUUCCUUUCUUUUAUUUCCUUCCUCAGUUAAAGAGUGGGCCAAGUCCUGUGUCUGGUACUGGGUGUAUAUAGGAAAUAAAUGAGAUCCUUGCUGUCAAGAAGUUCACUAUCCAAAGUGAGUUAGAAAACAGACCGGGUACAAAUGUGAGGAGUGGGCUCAAUAAAUGAGAUCCGGUUAUGUUGAAUUGGGGGAGAAGGAAUUAACCAAUAAAGUAGAGAUCUUUUCUUUCUGGAGAUCCAGGAAAUAUUAAAUAAGGAGAUUUAGGUUCAAUUUGGAGAUAGCUACACCCUCAUGGUGACUAACAACCAUGAAAGAGAAUCACGGGUGGCCAUGUGUCAGUGCCUUCUUCAGUCUCCAUGUUUUAUAUGGAAUCAGAGAAAGGCGUGCUCUCGCUUCGUUAAACCUCACUUCCUGGCCACAGCUUCCUGCCCUUUGUCUGAAAAGAAUGAAACAACACGGACUUUACUUUUUGACCUUUGAGCAUUCACAACGGACAGAAGCGCGAAGCAGCAAGGAGGCCUGGGAGAACGCAUGCCCGUAAACUGCUGUCAUCCUUUGAGCCUCUAAAAGGGCAAGCCUGUUGCUAAGGAAACCGCUGCUCCGGGAGGGCUAAACACACAGUGAAAUCGCAGGGAAAGAAAGGCACAAACAAGUCAGAAUGUUGGGGGAGGGGUGGCAUGAAGCAGCCUGAGAACUUCUAAACCUUUAUCGCUGGGAACACAUCAAAGGCUGGGGUGUGGGGCAGGGUAGGAGGGGUUCAACGGUCCAUCCUAGAAAAUAACUAGCUGGUAUUUAAAGGGAUCUUAGACUUUCCUGUGAAUUUAAUUUUGCCCAGACACACAAGCAGGAAGACAAAGUGGCUGUUAAUUUUCCAUUUAUCUUCAGGAAGUUUAUAGCAGUUUUUCAAGUUUAAUUACCUUCAUUUAUAAUAUGUGGUAUAAUUAGAUUUACAGUGCUCAAAAGCAUCUUUUGGUUUAUUUUGGUGUUGAUGCUCGCUAUUGAUGGGAUAAAGUAACUAUAGAUGUAGUCAUUUUGGAAAUUACGUGAUUUUUUUUUAAUUGCAUAAAUCUCCACCUUUCCUAAAAGAAAAAUAUUUAUGUCCUUAGAGAAUGAUGUUUGACACUUAUUUUCUGUUACUCAUUUCCAACACAAUGAGUCUUGACUUACUUAAAUAAAUAAAUGCGCUAAAUUAUAAAAUAUUGGAAAGGUUAUUUUUAACUUUCUGCUAAAAAGCAAGAAGUAUAACUUCAAUGUCAUUUCCUAUUAUAAUAAAAUGUCUCCUCUUAUGCCAA